rnacentral:rRNA from 1 species
CAGUCGCCACGGUAAUACGUAGGGUGCAAGCGUUAAUCGGAAUUACUGGGCGUAAAGCGUGCGCAGGCGGUUAUAUAAGUCAGAUGUGAAAUCCCCGGGCUCAACCUGGGAACUGCAUUUGAGACUGUAUGGCUAGAGUGUGUCAGAGGGUGGUAGAAUUCCACGUGUAGCAGUGAAAUGCGUAGAUAUGUGGAGGAAUACCGAUGGCGAAGGCAGCCCCCUGGGAUAACACUGACGCUCAUGCACGAAAGCGUGGGGAGCAAAUAGGAUUAGAUACCCCCGUAGUCCCUGUCUCUUAUAC